UGGGAUAUAGCCAAGCGGUAAGGCAACGGACUUUGACUCCGUCAUUCCCCUGGUUCGAAUCCAGGUAUCCCAGCCA
rnacentral:tRNA from 12 species